GCCAAUGUGGUGUAGUGGUUUGAAUGUUGGACUAAGACAUUGGGAGACCAGGGUUCAAAUCUUUGCUUAGACA
rnacentral:tRNA from 1 species